AUUGAACGCUGGCGGCAUGCCUUACACAUGCAAGUCGAACGGUAACAGGUCAAGCUGACGAGUGGCGAACGGGUGAGUAAUAUAUCGGAACGUGCCCAGUAGUGGGGGAUAGCCCGGCGAAAGCCGGAUUAAUACCGCAUACGACCUACGGGUGAAAGCGGGGGAUCGCAAGACCUCGCGCUAUUGGAGCGGCCGAUAUCAGAUUAGCUAGUUGGUGGGGUAAAAGCUCACCAAGGCGACGAUCUGUAGCUGGUCUGAGAGGACGACCAGCCACACUGGGACUGAGACACGGCCCAGACUCCUACGGGAGGCAGCAGUGGGGAAUUUUGGACAAUGGACGCAAGUCUGAUCCAGCCAUGCCGCGUGCGGGAAGAAGGCCU
rnacentral:rRNA from 1 species